AGACCCGAAACCCGGUGAUCUAGCCAUGGGCAGGUUGAAGGUUGGGUAACACUAACUGGAGGACCGAACCGACUAAUGUUGAAAAAUUAGCGGAUGACCUGUGGCUGGGGGUGAAAGGCCAAUCAAACCGGGAGAUAGCUGGUUCUCCCCGAAAGCUAUUUAGGUAGCGCCUCGUGAAUUCAUCUCCGGGGGUAGAGCACUGUUUCGGCUAGGGGGCCAUCCCGGCUUACCAACCCGAUGCAAACUGCGAAUACCGGAGAAUGUUAUCACGGGAGACACACGGCGGGUGCUAACGUCCGUCGUGAAGAGGGAAACAACCCAGACCGCCAGCUAAGGUCCCAAAGUCAUGGUUAAGUGGGAAACGAUGUGGGAAGGCCCAGACAGCCAGGAUGUUGGCUUAGAAGCAGCCAUCAUUUAAAGAAAGCGUAAUAGCUCACUGGUCGAGUCGGCCUGCGCGGAAGAUGUAACGGGGCUAAACCAUGCACCGAAGCUGCGGCAGCGAACGUAUCACCCAAGACAACUUUACGGAGUUGACGAUUGACGGAGCGAAGCGACGUCAAAGCGUUCAUUAAAGUCGAGUUGGCUUAGGGAUACGUUCGUUGGGUAGGGGAGCGUUCUGUAAGCCUGUGAAGGUGUGUCGUGAGGCAUGCUGGAGGUAUCAGAAGUGCGAAUGCUGACAUAAGUAACGAUAAAGCGGGUGAAAAGCCCGCUCGCCGGAAGACCAAGGGUUCCUGUCCAACGUUAAUCGGGGCAGGGUGAGUCGACCCCUAAGGCGAGGCCGAAAGGCGUAGUCGAUGGGAAACGGGUUAAUAUUCCC
rnacentral:rRNA from 2 species